rnacentral:rRNA from 1 species
UACGUAGGGUCCGAGCGUUGUCCGGAUUUAUUGGGCGUAAAGAGCUCGUAGGCGGUUUCGUAAGUCGGAUGUGAAAACUCAGGGCUCAACCCGGAGACGCCAUCCGAUACUGCGAUGACUGGAGUCUGGUAGGGGAUCACGGAAUACCUGGUGUAGCGGUGAAAUGCGCAGAUAUCAGGUGGAACACCGAUGGCGAAGGCAGCACUCUGGGACGUGACUGACGCUGAGACGCGAAAGCGUGGGGAGCAAACAGG